GACGAACGCUGGCGGCGUGCCUAAUACAUGCAAGUAGAACGCACAGUUUAUACCGUAGCUUGCUACACCAUAGACUGUGAGUUGCGAACGGGUGAGUAACGCGUAGGUAACCUGCCUGGUAGCGGGGGAUAACUAUUGGAAACGAUAGCUAAUACCGCAUAAUAUUAAUUAUUGCAUGAUAAUUAAUUGAAAGGUGCAAUUGCACCACUACCAGAUGGACCUGCGUUGUAUUAGCUAGUAGGUGAGGUAACGGCUCACCUAGGCGACGAUACAUAGCCGACCUGAGAGGGUGAUCGGCCACACUGGGACGGAGACACGGCCCAGACUCCUACGGGAGGCAGCAGUAGGGAAUCUUCGGCAAUGGACGAAAGUCUGACCGAGCAACGCCGCGUGAGUGAAGAAGGUUUUCGGAUCGUAAAGCUCUGUUGUAAGAGAAGAACGGGUGUGAGAGUGGAAAGUUCACACUGUGACGGUAUCUUACCAGAAAGGGACGGCUAACUACGUG
rnacentral:rRNA from 1 species